AAACUUUCUUACGGUCUCCUUGUUCUUCUAGCUUGAGGGAAAAAAAAAUGGUGGUUCAACAAGAACAGUUUCUGCUGGUUACAGUAUCCUUGCAGGGCCACUUGAACCCUAUGCUUAGGCUUGCCAAACGCCUUGUUUCAAAAGGCAUUAAUGUCACCAUUGCCACUAAUGACCAAGUUGCAAGCCACCGGAUGCUCAAGUCUACCAAAGACUCCACCAAUAAUUUGCCUGCUGCUGCCCUGAACACCACUCCUCAACCCGCUGGAAUCAGUCUUGUGUUCUUCUCUGAUGGCCUCAGUCCGGAAUUUGAACGCAACAAGGAUGUUGAUUCGUUUAUCAAGUCCCUGAGGACGACAGGAGCCAAAAACCUGUCAAAUCUCAUAGCCGAUUUCAUAGCGCAGGGCAAGAAAUUUUCUUGCAUUAUCUGCAAUCCUUUCAUGCCAUGGGUGCCUGAUAUUGCUGCUGAACAUGGCAUCCCUUGUGCUGUGCUUUGGAUCCAAGCAUGCACUGUCUUAUCUGUUUACUAUCAUUACUUCAAGCAUUCCAAUUUGUUUCCUUCAAUUGAGAACACGGAUGAGUCCUUAGAGUUGCCUGGAGUGCCAGUUUUGCAGGUAAAAGAUCUUCCCUCCUUCAUUUUCCCAUCAAGUCCCCCCAUAUUCUGUGAAACACUAUUUCAUUUUGUUCAAAACUUGGAUAAGAUAAAAUGGGUUUUAGUGAAUUCUUUUGCUGAAAUAGAGGAGGAGACAGUGAAGUACAUGGCUUGUCUCCAUCCUAUUUAUCCCAUUGGCCCAUUGGUGUCUCCAUUUCUGUUAGGAGAAGAAGAAAAGACUAUUGGCAGUGUUGAUAUGUGGGAUGCUGAAAGUUCUUGCGUCGAGUGGCUUGAUCAGAAACCACCAUCAUCGGUCAUUUACAUUUCCUUUGGCAGCAUAAGCGCGUUGUCUCAAAAACAAAUGGAUAACUUAGCCAUGGGAUUAAAGAAUAGCAACAGACCAUUUCUUUGGGUGAUUAAGCCUCGAGAGAAAAAUUCUGAGGAGAAAGGAGGUGAAUUGCCUGCUACGUUCUUGGAGGAGACCAAGGGAAGGGGCAUGGUAGUGACAUGGUGCUCACAAGAGAAGGUAUUAAUGCACCAAGCCGUGGCAUGCUUCAUUACACAUUGUGGGUGGAACUCGGCGCUGGAGACGGUGGUAGCAGGGGUGCCUGUCAUUGCUUAUCCGGGGUGGACAGAUCAGCCAACAGUUGCUAAGUUUUUGGUUGAUGUUUUAAAGAUAGGUUCCAGGAUAAAAGUUGAAGAUGAGGUUGCAAGCGCAGGAGAGGUAGAAAGGUGCAUUGUUGAGGUCACUGAUGGACCAAAAGCGGAAGAGAUGAAGAAAAGGGCGUUGGAAUUGAGUGAGGCAGCCAAGAAAGUGGCGGCGGAUGGUGGAUCUUCUGAUCAGAACAUUACUGGGUUUAUCAGUGAGAUAAUUGGUGGUCAUUCCUGCAAAGUGUGAAAGAGGUGGAAGAAAAGGAAAAUUUUUAAAAUGCUUAAGAAAGUUGCAGUAGUCCAAGUAGUGUUAGUAAUUACUAAUCAAAUAAAUUAAUCUUUCCAUAUAGGUAAAAGUAUUAGUAGUGCAAGUAAUUACUAAUCACAGAAAUCUUUCCAAAUCUGGAGGUCAAGCUUUCUCUUGAUAUGCUGUCACCUUCUGCCUUCUGAAAAAAGCUUGACCUAUGUUACUUGCUCCUAAUUAUGAAUGUGCGUAUCUAUUAAUGUUGAAAUAAAGAGAAA
rnacentral:misc_RNA from 1 species